UCCCCUCCCCCCUUUCCCCUUGCUCCCUCUCAGUUGCAGACUCUAGCGCGCCGGCCCCUGGAUGACAAUCACAUCCCAGCCGCAGCGAUCAGCUCCAACUUUCUUCAUUAGCUAACUACUGUUGGAGCCGUCACAUUGCUGAGGAUUUAUCGCAGCCAGGAUUGCCCUGGAACACAAGCCAAUCCGUUUAUGAAAAAUAAGAAAGGAGAUUGAAUAUUCGCUCAUUUAUUUCCUUUGUUUUCUUUCCACAGUAAAUAAUUGAGCGGAUAAAUAACGGAGAUAAGAGUACUAGGUGUGCAAUUGACUGCAUGGAGAUCCCUGCCCUACCGAGGUUUCGUCCCCUACCACUUUAGGAAACCCGGACCAAGUCUGAUAGGCGGAAACGACGAGGCUGCGGUGUGCCCCGGAGAGGAGACUACAACAGCAAUGUUAAGGAAGUGUGGAGUAAACACGGCCAGGUCCGGAGGAGGACUCGGCCAGCAGCAGGUGGGCAAAUUCUUCAGUCAGCAGUGGAUCUUCUAAUUACGAAAGAAGAAAAGGAGAAAAUUAUUCUGAAGAUUUAAGGUUCUAGUGUGGAAAUAUAAAGGUUUUCCCUGCAAAACAGUUGAGCUGGCUACUCAGAUGACUGUGGGCUGCAUUAGAAGCAUCUGGGAAGUAUCUUUUAGGUUAUACUCAGCACCCUGCAAUAACUUCCUUCCUGAAGUUGAUUAACUGGCUGCCAGAACUAAACCUCGAGGUCAGAAGACUUGUGGGUAACAACUGGAUUCCAGAACUCUGUCAGAGAGAGAUGAGUCCUUAAGAAUUGACUUAAGUGAUAUCUGUCAAUCUCAGAAGUUAUAUUCUUACAAUAAAUGUGAUGCUUUAUAAAAUACUGGAGCUACGAUUUCAUAUGCAAUUCAGUCAUCUGUGAAUGAACUUUUCUGCAAGUCUCCUUUCUUGUGCAUCUAGAUAAAAGGACAUUGAAAAAAUCAAGUUUUUAAAUAGUUUAAAUAUCCCUAAAUUCACCUGUUUCUACACUAGCCCCUGAGUUGUUAUAAAAGAUGAUUACUCUGUAUUGAAAUUGCCAGUUUUAUUGGAAAAAAUCAAAACUAGAAUAUUUUAAAAGCUUUUUGUUAUACUAGCUUUAAAAUAAAGUCAAUUGUGUUUUUAUGA